UACAGAGGGUGCGAGCGUUGUUCGGAAUCAUUGGGCGUAAAGCGCGCGUAGGCGGCUUUGCAAGUCGGAUGUGAAAGCCCCGGGCUCAACCCGGGAAGUGCAUUCGAAACUGCAUGGCUUGAGUUCCGGAGAGGGUGGUGGAAUUCCGAGUGUAGAGGUGAAAUUCGUAGAUAUUCGGAGGAACACCAGUGGCGAAGGCGACCACCUGGACGAGAACUGACGCUGAGGUGCGAAAGCGUGGGGAGCAAACAGG
rnacentral:rRNA from 1 species